rnacentral:lncRNA from 1 species
CUUCCUCUUCUUGUGGCCAAACAAAGUGGCUUGCAGCCAUCACUGCAAAUAGCAAAAAGCUAGAAUAAAAGGUUAGUAGCUAUACAAAAGCAAAACAAAGCAUAAGAAAAUAAAGCUUAAUCUCAAGAAAGUUUGAAAUCCUAAUGACAAAUCUACUUAGUUCCCCGGCAACGGCGCCAAAUUUGAUGCAUGACUUUUCAAGGGUCCAAGAUCAAAUCAAUGUAGUAAAAAAGAUUGUCGAACCAGAGAACUAGAGACUUAUACACCAAGAAUACACAAGCUAUCUUAAUCUAAACAAACAAGAAGAUGGAUGAUUUGUAACAAGUUAAGAUCCUAGAAAUAUAAACAAGGUGAUCUCAAAUCCAAUCAAGAAACAAGUACAAGAACUCAAUCAAAUGCUAAGGAUGGAUUCAUGGAUAAGGAUAAUUGAUAUAAGGUGAUCAAGGUUCAAUUUAAAGGUGGCAACUUUCAAUCAAUCUUUCAACCUUAUGCAUAGACACAACACUAAGCAAACUCUUUCUCAAGAUUGAAGCUCAUUUGCUAAAAUAACUCAAGCAUCAAAUAUCUUUGGUUGAAUAUUACUAGAGCAAUCAUGGAGAACAAGUCUAAUAGAAAUCCUAGCACCUUUGACAUCAAAUCUCUUUGGCAAAGCAAGCUAAAAGCCUUGAAGAGUUGGUUCAGACAUUUCAUCGAACACCUCUCGGGCGUGAAAUGCCUAGAGAUCUAUCUUAGAGAGGCCAACUUUAAAAUAGCAUUGAGAUCACUCAACAAGCAAGGAAUAAGAAAGAUCUACAAUAAAACACCCUAGAUCUACAGUUAAUCACCCUAAACUACUUUAACCCAUUGAAUCCAAAAUGUGUCUACUCACUAAUCUCCAUGGAAAACCUUAAAUCUAUGGGAGAUUCAAGGCUAAUCAUGUUUAUGAGAAGGAGAAACAAGAUAUAAGAUGAAGAACUUCCUUAAAUUAAUAAAAAGAUUCAAGCUUUAUAAAAUGAGGCAAAGAGUGUUCUCGAGAGAAAAUGAGAUAAUUCUCAACUUGGGGAUUACAAGAGUAUUUAUAUGGUCUUUGGAAAGCCUAAUGGUUUCCAUAGAAAAGUCUAAAAUGCCCUUUGAAAAUGUUGAUUUUCGGCCAAGGUAAAGACGCGACCCGGGUAGAUGCCAUGGUCGCAACCCGCGUCGGCCAACCCGCGUCAGCUCCUCGUCCAGCUUCUGGGAGGCAGCCCGGGUAAGCUAACCCGCGUCCAUCUACCCGCGUCAGGGUUGAUAUGCCUCUAGUAAAUCGAUCAUAACUCGUCCAAUACAGCUCCAAAUGACUUGAAACCACUUCCAUUAGAAAGAUAACUCAAUUUCCCACGUCACCCCAAAACAUGAGCUUCAAAAGAUAUCUUUAAGGUCUCCAUCCAUGUUCAUCUUUCACCCUUUUGCACCACAAAUGUCACUAAACACCUCUAAGAACUCUAUAGCACACUCCAGCCCCUAAUAAAGACCCAUGUAUGCAAAAUGGACCCUAAAGAUGCAUAAUUCCUAAUCUACGUGAUCAUUAUGUACAAGAAAUGAUGGUUAAAACCAUGUAAAUAUGCAAGAUAUCAAUAUAUGGCAGCAGAUACUGCAUGAGCACAAGGGAUGGCCAGCGCGCCGAACUCCUUGCAAGAACAAGUUUUCUUAUCAAGAUCCACACGGUGAUACAUCCCAUUUCCAUUAACAACUUCGUACUCAUUGUUUAUGAUGUGUUUGACAGCAUAUCCUGUGGAGUCUUUGAAGUUGCGCAUGACGAUAUCAGUAACUUUCGGAGUUAGUGCCCCCACAUUCUUUGCUGCUGCAUCACGUCUCGAAGAGAACCAUCCCAUCACCAUUGACCUAAUAUACUCCAGAAGAGGGACAAUUGGGUAUUCUCUAGCCUCAGACAGUGUUGCGUUCAGAGACUCAGCGAGGUUACUUGUCAUAAUGUUGUACCUUGCCCCAUCAAAAUGUGAUCUAGUCCAGUGCUCAAGUCCAACCCGGAUCAGAUAAUCCGCACAAGCGCCGUCAACCACCUUGAGCUCGUUGAAGUGCAAGUAGAAAUCCUCCAGUUUGUAAGCUCUUGCUGCUCUACCCAGAAGGUACCCCAAAUGCUUCUUCUUGAAGAUCGUCUGGACGUUCCUCUGGAGAUGUAGCAGGCAAGAACAAUGCUUAGCCAUCGGAUAAACCUAUUAAAAGUAACUACAGCAGUUAGCAAACUGUGGGAGUGAUCUUAUUCUACAGACUACCAAAUAAGUUAACCGCUAACUUAUGCACUAUAGUUUACCCUUAAUAUUUUAAAUAGAGGCAAUGCAGUAGGUGCUUACUCUGCGGAUUCCAGAGUAUAUUGCGGUGUGUCUGUCAGAGACAAAGACUAAGUCAGUAGCAUCAGUCACUACAGCAAGGAGCUUGUUGAAGAACCAUGUCCAUGAUUGGUCAUUCUCGCUAUCUACUAUCCCAAACGCAAUCGGAAAUAUCUGAUAGUUCCCAUCUUGUACACUUGUUGUGAGCAAACACCCUGCAAACUUCCCCUUCAAGUGCGUUCCAUCAAUGAUGACUACCUUUCUCAUGAAAUCAAAUCCUUUUUGGCUUGCCCCAAAUGACAGGAAGAGGUACUUGAAACGCUGGACAUUGCCUGGUCCCUUGCUUGUCUCCAAUGCGACCAGAGUCCCAGGAUUCGCAAUGGCCAACUGCUGGAGGUAGAAAGGUAAAGUACUAUAUGCUGCCGCAACAUUUCCACGCCCAUUCUCUAUAGCAAUCUUCCGGGACUUCCAAGCAGUCCAGUAGGAUAUCGGUACACUGUGGUCUCUCAACGCUCCUGGCCUUGGGCCACUUCCGAUACCAACAUACUUGCUCCUCAUCAUUCCCCCAACAAUUGAUGAGGUUGCAUGUCUCCUAAACUGCCCCCGCUCGCUAACAGUGCAAUGGUGGUUACUAUCCAAUGUCUUGAUUUCAAACAGCGGGCACCCAGUGAUUUUAGCUGCGUACACCCGCCAUUGACAGUUAACUCCACUGCACUCCAGAACCAGUUUUCCGGGCUCAGACUUCCUCUUGAAGUAUAUGUACUUGUUAGCCAAUGCAUGUAGCGACAUGUGAACCUUGAAAGCAUCCCGGUCGACAAAUACUUGCCCCACAUAGAGCUGAUUAUUGCUGCCUAUUUCCUCUUCAUCUGAAAUCAGCAAUUUAUAUAAUGUUAGAACAUAUAUACAAACUCAUUUACCAACUAACUCAUCCAUUACUCGGAACAAAUAAACUUAUCCAUCACGGGGGAAGCUUACCUUUUUGCUCACCAGCAUAAGCUUCAUCCUCCUCAAGUGCCACAUCGGCCCCCUCCGUGUUUGCAAAACCAGAGCCAGAACCCAUCUGCAGCCCGAAGAGCUGACCACCCCUGAUGUCUGGACCAGUCAUUACCCCCUUGCCUUUCAUAUAUGAGCCCACCCGUCCUCCAUCAACGUCGUCAGUAGUAGCUAAGAAAACAAUUAACACUCAAACGCAUCAUUUAUCCGCUAACUAUAUAUACUCCAUCAACCAGUUCAUUUCCAACAAAACACUCAAAUAAACUUCUACUUACCUAUCGCCAAUGUCAGGUUCGCUCCAGCUGGCGGUUCUGUAGGUAUUUCCUCAAGCCGGAUCAUCCCUUCAGCAUUAGGUAUGAAAAUAUCCAUUUCAUCUGAUGAAUCGGUCUGAGAGGAGUUUUCAUCAAUCACCAUCAGGGGCUGAAAAAUCUCAUCCCUUGUCAGACGCACGGCGUUCCUACGGAUUUCCACCAUCUGCUCACUGCUGCAGAUAUGGUCAUCAACUUCUCCUCGCUAACUUGCAGAUAACCACCCGAACGGAAACCUUUAUAUGGUAACAACAAAGUUAGCAUACAAGUAUACAACUUAGCAACCAACAUAUUUAAUGGUUGAUAAUGCAAACCUCUCCACGGUAUUGGUUUAGGUGGAACAACAUCAGUCCCGUCUUCCGUCAGCCCGAACUCCUCCCUCCGCAUGGUGUGGUAGCGGCCAACUUCCACGUUUCCAUAGGCCACACACAAAGUCAAUUUAACGUAGUCCAUCCUAACCGCAUGAAGGGCUCCACAUCUUUGUCUUCUAGUAUGUCAACAGGCGGUGUGGUGUAGUCGCCAGGAACUUUCAUCCACUCAGGGAAGUCAUAGGUCAAGGCGACAGGUUCAGAAGGGAGUACUCGGUAUUUACCCCUCACCAUAGCCACCAAGUCGCCGUAAGUCUCAUUCUCUCUCAACACAAUAUCGUAUUUCACUUGUGUGUGAUCCAUGUCGAACCACCAGGUCCCAUGUGCAAGUCUCUGCCAUUCACCUACAACAACUCUCACCAGGUGCCCCAUUGCUUGUACUUGAACAAGUUCGUUGUUUCCUGAACAAAAAGACAGAACACAGAUUGUGAAUCUCUAGUUUAUAACAGCGAACACAACCGUCUAUUAAUCAUCAAAGAGUUGUUUCCUGAACCAAAAAGACAGAACAAGUCUAUAUAGAUGAAUAUAUGUCAAUAAUCUUCAUACCUCUCCUCUAAGAGAUAAUGAACACUGUCAAACGAGUUCCUAAUCUCUAAACUCUCAAUCACAGUUUUCGUUUUCACUUUGUCUCUCACACCAAUCUCUCAACCCUCUGCUAAGUAUAUAUAUUCUAUUCUAUGAACCCUAGUACCAAACCCACAACCCAAUAUGCAACCACCGUUCCACUUACCGAAGCAAUUGUCAUCAUAACGAGUAAGGAGAUCUUUUUUACCCAGCAGUUCCUCGCCUCCGGCGCCUCUUUGUGUCAGUCACGCUCCUCUCUACACGCCUCAACCAAAUCUCAGUUUCUCUACUUUCUGACACACACACGCGUUCUAUCGGCGAACCCACGAGGUUGAAAGAGCCAAAUCGUGGCCAAAAAGUCAUUGUUUUUGCCUAUAUCUAAACUCAUGGGCAUUAACCAAAUUUGGGUCUCUUUUGGGUAUAUAUCGUCCAUUCACUCAACUAAGAAACAUGCGAUGUGAACACCGCCUCUAGGAGUCUAGGAUAUGGAGACUUGUCUCGCUCCCUGCCAGUUGAAAGUUCAAUAUUUGUUUUUGUAGAAAUCUUAGUAGAUGAAUCUUGCACGUAUGUAAAUUAUAACAAAAUCCAAGAAGUCACUGUUAUUGGUUUAUACCCAAAAAGCAUAUACUUUUUCCUUUUAACUCUUUCUUUUUGUUGCUCUAGACUAUCUUAGAUACAAGAGGUGGCAAAAUUGAUCUUUUAGAGACAGAAAGAUGGCAACAAAGUAUCUUUUCUAAAAUUUUGUUUUGCCAACUUAAUCAAUCAGUUUACAUAUGUAAAUAAAAUUGAAUAACCAUUUAUUAAUGACUUGUGUCAGUUGUUUGAAAUUUUGUUUAGUCAACCAACUUUUUUGCCAUUUGUUCUUGUUUCUAAUUAUUUCUUGCUAAACUUAUUCAAAGUUCAUUAUUAUCUUGUUAACUAGGACUACAAAAACAGUUCUUUUCAUUAUUUAAGAUAUGAAUUAUAAUUUUAGUCGCAUGGUUUAGCACCAGAUUUGUUUCUAAACGAAUCUAAUCAUUCAACCAAUAAGUAGUAGUACCACUUAAAUUAUAAAAUACAAAGCAUGUACUUUUCACAUGUAGCGUUCCAAUUGUUAUUGUUAAUAUCUAAUAUUAGUUUUUCGAAAGUGAAAUAUUAAAAGUUGUCUUCUCCGCGCACUAUCUUGGCUCUUAGUAUGGGACGAGUUCGUCGUAUCCUCUUCAUUUUCAACAAAUAGAAAAACAUAAAAGCUCUUCUGAGGAAACUCAAAGAUCUCUGGAGAUUCUCUCCAAUGGCAGCCACAGUACUUGGCUCCGUCUUCGGUAUCUCUCCCGUCUCUACAGAAAGAGUCUGCAACGCUGACUUCCGCAGUACGAAGUCAAACCUACGAGGAAGAACGCAGGCUAUCAAAUCGGUAGCACCGACGAAUCACGGUGGUGUUCGACGAGUACACAAGAACAAGGAGGAUGACGGAGAAGGAGCAAAGGUGGCUAAAUUGGUGGAGAGCCCGUAUUCAAAAGUGGAGGCUGCGCGUCCAGAUUUGCGGAAGAGGUUGUCGGAUUUUUUGGAGGAUGCGAGAGAUUUGGUCGGAGAUGAUGAUGGUCCGCCACGUUGGUUCUCUCCGUUGGAGUGUAGCUCUCAGGCUCCAGGCUCGCCUCUUCUCCUUUUCAUACCUGGUUCGUCCUCUAAUUAACCGAGCAGUAGAUCUUGGACCGAAACUGUAAAAAAAUAAAAACAGGUUGUUUUGUUUUUGCCAUUUUAAAACAUUUUACAUUGGUUAACAAGAGGUGUCCAGUAAUAGACGUGGAUGGUGGGAUUUGAUUUGUGGCGUUGACCCGCAUGGUGUGCUGAUCCUCGCCAGACCAGUCAAAUCAAAGUGCUAUAAUUAGUGGCAACAUAAAUGAAGCUUAUGGGCGAUAGUGAUACCAAAGCUGUUGUACUCAGUUUCUAGUUUCUAGUUUCUAGUUUCUACUAGGGGUCAUAAAGAUUGUCCUCAAUUUUGAUGGUAUCAAUGAACCGUUUUCCCAGAUCAUCCCGGUGUGACGGUGUCCGAACAUCUUGAUGAAAUCUAGAUUUUACUUAUAUAUUCACUCUGCUUUGUCAUUUAAAAGAAAACUAAAUAAUUUUUCAGACAAAAAAUUAACCCAGUAAUAGUAGUAUUUCAUACAAGUCUCCUUUAAUUUUAAGUUUUUUUUUUAUUAUUUUUGAAAAUACAAAUAAACAAUAGUAUACAUUAUAUGUAUAACUAUAUAGCAUAUCAGAUAUAUAUAUCCAUUACAAUUUCAAUAUUUGUAAUUUGCUUCAUUUUUAAUGGAUAAUAAAUUCUAGUAUUAGCUUACUUCAUAGUUUGAGAUAAUCCCUUGUUAAGAUCAAAUAGACACAAAUAAUGAAAUAGUCGAAAAUAUUUUAGCUCAUCACUAGUUUCUACCAUAUUUUAAGACUAAACUGAGAAACUAGAAACCUUGCAGGUACCGAUGGUACUGGACUUGGGCUCAUUAGACACCACAAGAAACUCGGGGAGUGAGUAAUUUUCAAAUUUUUGUUUAUAUGCUUCUUCAUUUUUCUUUUGAAGUUUGCAACUUUGCAUUAGCUUCUUCUUUUUCUUUUUCAUUUUUGAAACAUUCAUGCUUAUGUUUCUUGAUCCAUAUCAGUUGAAAGAAUAAAAUGAGAAAGCAAGAAGCCUAAAAUGAAAUUAAUUGAAUAUGGUUUCUCUGUUUCUGGAAGUUAGUCAUUUUCUGAUAUUUUUUGUUAUCUUUUGAGUAGGAUUUUUGAUGUAUGGUGCCUUCAUAUUCCAGUCAGGGAUCGCACUCCAGCUAAAGGUGCCUUAUUUUUUGUACCAAAACAAAAGAAGAGAAAAAAAAAUUCUAACCAAGAAGACAGCUUAAUGAGGGAUAAAAUGACUUUUGUUUAUGUGUGUUUACAGACUUGGUGAAGCUUAUUGAGAGGACAGUUAAGUCAGAGAACUAUCGUUUCCCAAACAGACCUAUAUAUUUAGUUGGUGAAUCUAUUGGAGCAUGUCUUGCGUUAGAUGUUGCAUCCAGGAAUCCCAACAUCGACCUUGCGCUCAUCUUGGCUAAUCCAGGUACAAACCUCCAUCGGUCUGUGAGAUUCUAUCUUAUAUUGUCGGUAAACGUUAUAACGUAUAUGUAAGUUUUUGCUCAUCGUAUAUAUUGUUUCUUGCAGCCACAGAUGUCAACAACUACAUGUCGCAACCUCUAUCAGGAAUGCUGAAUGUUUUACCAGAUGGAGUUCCCACACUAUUGGAAGAAAUAUUUGGUUUUAAGCAAGGUAGUACACUUUUCUGUUCUCUUGUCAUUUUGUAGUUGAUGUUUGCCUUCCAAAACGUGACAAACAUAUGGUUUCUUUUUUUCCGGGGCACUUUAUUACGCAGGUGAUCCAUUGACUGCAAUGUUAGACGCUUUGACGAAUGAAUUUUACGUCCACCAAAUGGGUGGAGUUGGUGGAGGGAUACUAAGAGAUAUCUUUGCAGUUUCAGCUAAUCUUCCUGUAAGCAUUAAUUUUUAGUUUAUAGUCAAUGCAUUUAUUAUUAUCAACAUCUAAAACAAAUAUAUUUGCAGACGUUGAGUAGGAUGUUCCCAAAGGACACACUUCUUUGGAAGCUGGAACUGCUCAAGUCUGCUGUUGCAUCUGCCAAUUCUCACAUACACGCGGUCAGAGCUGAAACACUCAUACUUCUGAGGUCUUAAUACUUAAUCUCUUUUUACUUGCAAAGACUUGUUCCAGCUUAAAGCUUAGGUGUAAUAUGUGAAUAUCUGGUUAUAUCCAUUGCAGUGGACGUGAUCAAUGGCUACUGAACGUGGAAGACAUUGACAGAUUGGCGCUCACAUUGCCAAAAUGUGUUGUCCGCAAGAUGAAAGACAGUGGACAGUUUCUGUAUUUCGUAAGUGACCUCUCUUCAUCCAACACAGAAGAUAUAUAAACUGAUAACUACACUUUAACUAUCUCUUGGAUUACGUCUCAUAUUAGGAGGACGGCGUCGAUCUGGUUACUAUCAUCAAGUGUACAUGUUUCUAUCGCCGUGGGAAGUCUCAUGACCACCUUUCAGAUUACAUCAUGCCUACCACAUUUGAGUUAAAACAACAAAUAGACGACCACAAGUAAAAAUGCUUAACAAACCAAAUUAGUCUAUUACUUAAGAGGUUAUAGCGAAUAGUGAAUAAUAAUUUUCUACGUUGCAGAUUGUUAAUAGAUGCUACUUCCCCUGUAAUGCUAUCAACUCUAGCAAACGGUAAAGUUGUAAGGAGCCUAGAAGGUUUACCUUCGGAAGGACCUGUUCUGUACGUUGGCUACCACAUGUUACUGGGAUUUGAGCUAGCUCCUAUGGUAUCACAGCUCUUGAAAGAGAGAAACAUUCACUUGCGCGGUUUGGCACAUCCCAUGCUAUUUGUAAACAACCAAGAUGCGUUGGUCGACACGCAGAUGUUUGAUAAAUAUAAGAUAAUGGGUGGAGUUCCUGUUUCCAAUUUCAAUAUCUACAAACUACUGAGUUUAAAGUCUCAUGUGCUUUUGUACCCUGGAGGUGUCCGUGAAGCUCUCCACAGAAAGGUGCUCAUGAGAAUAUAUUUAAUAGUUUGUGACCCUUUUUUUUUUACAGUUUAUGCAUUCUUGGGAGGUUAUAUUAUUAGAGGUUUACAUGUACAGGGUGAAGAGUACAAGUUGUUUUGGCCAGAGCAACCUGAAUUUGUGAGAGUUGCAUCUAAAUUUGGAGCGAAAAUAGUCCCUUUUGGUGUUGUUGGAGAAGAUGACAUCUUUGACGUAAGAUUUUCUCUACUCAGUUCUGUGAACCUCUUGUUUAGCAUGUUAGCAAGAAGCAUUGUCUCUAUGUAUAGAAUAGAAAUGAUCUGAUAAACACUAUACUGGUCUACUUUAUGCAUCACCUGAACCUUGGUUUGCAAGUUAUUAAUUUUGGUUAGGAUAAUGGAUGAUGAAUCUCAGAUUGUACUGGAUGGUAAUGAUCAAAAGAACAUCCCUAUCCUAAAGGAUUUGAUGGCAGAGGCAACAAAGCAAGCUGGCAACUUAAGGUGUUUUAUUUUAUCUACACAAUUUCUUUUUAUCAUUUUAUACUCAUCAAGUGAAACUAAACAUGAGUUUGAACUGUUGUAAAUUACUAGGGAAGGUGAUGAAAGCGAGUUAGGAAACCAAGAUUGCUAUUUCCCGGGACUUUUACCUAAGAUUCCGGGGAGGUUCUACUACUACUUUGGUAAACCAAUAGAAACAGCAGGUAGGGAACAAGAGCUAAAAGACAAAGAGAAGGCUCAAGAGUUUUACUUGCAAGUCAAGUCAGAGGUAGAAGAGUGCAUUGCCUAUUUGAAAAUGAAAAGAGAGAGUGAUCCCUACAGGCACUUGUUGCCAAGGGUCUUGUAUCAGGCUUCACAUGGUUUCUCUUCUGAAAUUCCGACGUUUGAGCUCUGAAAUUCUCUUUUCAAUUGUUUACAAUAUAGAAUAAUUAAUGUGGCUAUGUUGUAAGUAGACACAUUCAAUUAUGAUUCAUGAUAUUUAGAUGUUUUUUUAUUUUCAUGAACCAUGGAAGUCUUAAGGUUGUUCUUCAUACGUAACUCGUGAGAUUGCGUUUCAGCAUAAUUUAAGCUUCAUACAAUGUUCAUGCGUCCAUUAAGUUGUUAAAGAUUAAUACCAAAACUUUUUCUCUCUUUUUUUUGUUUUUUGCGGCUUUUCAAUUUCUUAAGAUGUGAACAACAACAACAUCUUUGAGAAAGAAGUGAGAAGAGUGUCUUGAGAUUAUUACAAUGAAAGGUACAGUAGUACUUGGCUCCAUCAACGGUCUCUCUUCUGUAUCGUCUCUCUCAAGAGAAACAUUCCGCAACGCUGGUUUCUUCUGUUGGAAACAAAGCUCAUCCUCGAAGUAUAGACUCACGGCGAUCAGACUAGAAUCAUCGACUACGACUCAUGGAGGUAUUAGACGAAUAAGGAAGAAUCAAGAUGAAAAGGUGGUUGAGAGUCCGUAUGCGAAUGUGGAAGAGGAGCGGCCUGACUCGAGGAAGAGCUUGUUAGACUUUUUGGAAGAAGUAAGAGGUUUCGUCGGAGAAGAAGGUCCACCUCGUUGGUUCUCUCCGCUUGAGAGCUCCGUUCAGGCUCAAGGCUCUCCUCUCCUCCUUUUUAUACCUGGUUUUUCUUCUUGAUCUUCUUUGGCUUUUCCUAUAAUCUCCAUGGAAAAUUGAGAUCUUACUGUUGAAGUUUAAAAAAACUUGCAGGUAUUGAUGGUACUGGACUAGGGCUCAUUCGCCAACACAAGAAACUUGGAGAGUGCGUAAACUUCAAAAUCUUAUUUAUCCCUUUUUCAUGUCGUUAAGUGUUUGCUAUUACAUUUAUUUAUUUAUUUUUCAUUUUUUUUUUUGUAAAUUCCUCGCGCAAAAAAAAACUAAAAACUAUAAAGAAAAGCUUAAACUGAAAACAAGAAUAUGGUUUUUCUGUUUUUGAAGUACUGACAUGUAAUGGAUCUUCAUUUCUGGUGUGGUUGUGACUUUGAGUAGGCUGUUUGAUAUAUGGUGCCUUCAUAUUCCAGCCAGGGAUCGUACUUCUUCUAAAGGUACCUUGUUGUCUAUUAAAGAUUGCUUUCUGACCAAGAAGAUAGUUGAAAGCUGAUUUUGGUUGGUGUGUUUACAGACUUGGUGAAGCUUAUUGAGCAGACAGUUAAGUCAGAGAACCAUCAUUUCCCAAAUAGACCUAUAUACUUAGUUGGAGAAUCUAUUGGAGCAUGUCUUGCGUUAGAUGUGGCAGCCAGGAAUCCCAACAUCGAUCUUGUCCUCAUCUUGGCUAAUCCUGGUAAAAACCUCCAUCGGUCUGUAAGGUUCUUUAUUUUUCGGUAAGUGCAUAUCGUUGAUCAUCCUAUACACCGUUUGUUGCAGCCACACAUAUCAACAACCUCAUGUCGCAGCCUCUAUCAGGAAUGCUUAAUGUUUUACCAGAUGGAAUUCCCACGCUAUUGGAAGAAAUAUUUGGUUUUAAGCAAGGUACAGUUUCUUUGUUCUCUUCUCAUUUUCUAACUUGACUUCUUGUAGUUGAUACUUUCUCAAGGAUUCUUUAAGUGUCUCCAAGUUUAUUACACAGGCGGUCCAUUGACUGAAACGUUAGAAGCCUUUUCAAAUGAAUUUUCUGUCCAUCAAAUCGGUGGAAUGAUGCUAAGAGAUCUGUUUGCAGUUUCAGCUAAUCUUCCUGUAAGAAUUCAUUAUUAUAAACUCAUUAAUACAAGCCCAUAAUAGCUAUGCAUUUGAAAUUUACUUAUUGUAUUCACCUAAUAAUGUGAUCAACAUAUCAAAACAAUAUUUGCAGACUUUAAGUAGGAUCUUCUCUAAGGACACACUUCUUUGGAAGCUGGAAAUGCUCAAGUCUGCUAUUGCAUCUGCGAAGUCCAAUAUAUCCGCCGUCAGAGCUGAAUCACUGAUACUCUUGAGGUCAAAUUAAUACUGAAUCUCUUAUACUUGCAAAGAAUGUCCUAACUCCUAACUAAGAGCUUAAGUGUAAUAUGUGAAUGUAUGUUUAUUACCAUUGCAGUGGACGCGAUCAAUGGAUGCUGAACCUGGAAGACAUUGACAGAUUCUCGCGCAAGUUGCCAAACUGUAUUCUCCGUAAGUUCAACGACAGUGGACCAUUUCUCCUUUUGGUAAGUGACAUCUCUUCAUCCAGUUCACAAGAAAUAUAUUCAUAAACUACACUUCAACUAUCUCUCUUGUACAUCUCACGUUAGGAGGAUGAUGUAGAUCUUGUUACAAUCAUCAAGUGUACAUGUUUUUAUCGCCGUGGGAGGUCUCAUGAUUACAUUUCAGAUUACAUUAUGCCUACGCCAUACGAGUUAAGAAAACAACUAGAGGAACACAGGUAACAACGUGCCUCAUUAUAGUUUCUCUCUAUGUAUCUUUAAGUAAAAGGGUAUAGUACUGAGUGAUAAUUUUUUACCAUGCAGAUUACUAAUAUAUGCUACUUCCCCUGUAAUGCUGUCAACUCUAGAGAACGGUAAGAUUGUAAGGAGCCUAGAAGGUCUACCUUCGGAGGGACCUGUUCUGUACGUUGGAUAUCACAUGAUAUUGGGAUUUGAGUUACCUCCAAUGAUAGCUCAACUCAUGAAAGAGAGGAACAUUCAGUUGCGUGGGUUGACACAUCCGAUUAUUUUUAUGAACAAGACGAUAGUACACGACAUACUCGACCCUCAGAUAUUUGACAAAUAUAAGAUAACGGGUGGAGCUCCUGUCUCUCAUGCCAAUAUCUACAAGUUGCUGAGUUCAAAGUCUCAUGUGCUUUUGUAUCCUGGUGGUGUCCGUGAAGCUCUCCAUAGAAAGGUGAACAUAACCUUUUUUAUACAGUUUUUGUAUUCUUGGAAAUUAUGUUAUUAGAGGCUUACAUGUACAGGGUGAAGAGUACAAGUUGUUCUGGCCAGAGCAACCUGAGUUUGUGAGAGUUGCAUCUAAAUUUGGAGCCAAAAUUGUCCCUUUUGGUGUUGUUGGGGAAGACGACAUCUGCAAGGUAAGCUUUCAUAGUCAUAAGCUCCAAUCGGUUAUGCUGUUUAGCAAAUCAGCAAGCAAAAUAAUACUAAACAACUUAGAGAGAAAACUAAUAUAUGUUUUAAAUUUUCUUUAUUAAUUGUGUGAAUAAAUAAUUCACAAUACUAAAAAGAAUACUUAAGGCCCAACACUUCUCAGAUGUCAACUUUGAUAGAAAGUACAUCUGCAACAUUGUAGCAUUUUACUAGUGCACCGAGAUUUAAGCUUCGCUAAUAAGAAAUGACAAGUCUUUAUUCCGAUUUCUACAUUACUUGACAUUCUCAGCUUCUACCUAAUUCUACAGAUUACUGCGUUCCACAUAUUAGAUUUGUUCUUUUUAGUUGAUUUCUGAAGUGCUGAUAAAAGUUCCAUACCUUGUAUUCACCCGAACCUCGGUUUUAAAGUAACUUUGGCUGGGAACAUUGAAUGACUCUCAGAUCGUUCUGGAUUCCAAUGAUCAAAGGAACAUCCCUAUCUUGAAGGAAUUAAUGGAAAGGGCAACAAAGGAAGCUGGCAACUUAAGGUGUUUCCACGCUACACUAUAUAUACAUUUUUUUCUCAUGUGUACUCUUCAUGUAAAUAGUCAUAUGAUCACUGACUUUGAGCUUUCAUAAUCUUUUAGGAAAGGCCACGAGAGUGAAUUGGGAAACCAAGAUUUCUAUUUACCAGGGCUUGUACCUAAGAUUCCAGGGAGAUUCUAUUAUUACUUUGGAAAGCCAAUAGAAACAUCAGGUAUAUAUGUUCAAUGUAAAUUAAUGUUGCUUUGAUCUACUCUAGAUCACUGAUCUGAGUACUUGCAAUGGCUUUUUUUCUUUCUUUUUGGCAGGUAAGGAACAAGAGCUAAGAGACAAAGAAAAAGCCCAGGAGCUUUACUUGCAAGUCAAGUCUCAGGUAGAACAAUGCAUUGCCUAUUUGAAAAUGAAAAGAGAGAGUGAUCCCUACAGAAACUUGCUGCCAAGGAUGUUGUAUCAGGCUUCACGUGGUUUCUCUUCUGAAACUCCAACGUUUGAUCUCUGAAAUUAUCAUCUCUUUGAUCAUUUACAGUACUACUUUAUAUUUUAUUUUUCAAAUCAUGAAUUGAACAACAAAUUAGUAUAGAUAAAUAAUAGAAGAAACAUAAAAGUUUUGUUAAAUGAUUAUAUAAGCUUGUCUCUUAAUGGCUAUUGAGUGUGAUUAACGGCCAUUGUUUUUACAAGUGGCAUAGAUAAAUAAUAGGAGAAAUAUGAAACUUUGUGUUCAAAAAAAAAAAAAAAAAUAUGAAACUUUUUGUGUUAAAUAAUAGUCCUUAAAAUGAUUCUCUCUCGUAUUAAUAAAUGAAGAAUAUUACAAACUCAGAUUUUCAUAAAGUGUAUAAGCUUGUCUCUUCAACUAGUAAAUCCAAUCAAACGCUUUAUGCAUAUAGGCCCCGCCUUGCUCAUGUUUGCCCGCCCACACUUUUAAAUAGAUACCGUUUUCUCUGGCUCUCCAGUCCCACAAGGCUCCAUUAUCACUGGGACUUACCUGUUUGAAUGCUGUAAAGCUCUGAGUGUGUCUAUAAUUAGGCCCUUGUCUCAACGUACACAUGAAACGCGUUGUCCCGAAAAUGUUGGUGUUGAAGUAUUUUUCAUAUCGUGCUCCUGGUUCUAUCAUCUCUGUCUUCAUUCGGUUGUCUUUGGAGUAACAGCUUAUAGAGAGCUUUUUCUUGAAUUUGAGUUCGUUUGAAAUCCUGAUGCUGCCGUAUACAUGGCUAAUCAUGCAGAAGCUAACCACACAUAGAAAGAUUGAGAGAUUUUUCAUAUUUAUUUUUAGGAUACUGAUGAUGUACUUCUUUUUGUGGUCUAGAUUAUAUAUACGCAUCUAUAUUGCUAUAUAUGGUAUUUUAGUUUAUAAAUAGGAUUAUAGAAAGACAAAUAAGAUGUGUUGUAGAUGCUCUAAUUAAUAAGCUAUAGAUAAUCCUCACAAAUCCACAGCUUGAACUUCUGUUAAAAACUGCUAUCAUUACUUUGGAAAACAAAUAGAAACAGCUGGUAUACAUGUUAAAUGUGCUUUGACUACUGUAGAUUGCAUGAUCUGAAUACUGGCAAUGGUUUUGUUUUUGUUUUUUCUCUUUCUUGGCAGGUAAGGAACAACAGGCCCAAGAACAUUACUAGCGAGUCAAAUCUCAGGCAUUGCCUGUUUGAAAAUGAAAAGAGAGAGUGAUCCCGCCAGAAACUUGUUGACAAGGAUUUUGUAUCAGGCCUCACAUGGUUUAUCUUCUGAUAUUACAACCUUUAAUCUCUAUGACUAUCAUCUCUUUCAUCAUCAAUUUUUUUUCACAAGUAGCAUAGAUAAAUAAUAUGGGAGCAACAUAAAACUUUUUGUGUUAAAUGGUAGUCCUUAAAUUGAUUAUUCUCUUGUAUUAAUGAAGAAUAUAUACAAACUUCGAUUUUCAUCUGUAACUAGAUCUUGACCUGCGCAACCGCGCAGGUUUUUGUUUUUAUUUAUUUUUAUAUAAAUAUUUUGUUUUCAAUUCUAAAUUGGUAUAUAUUAUAAUAUAUGUGUCUAUCAAUUUUUUAAACAUAAUAAGUUUACGAUAUAUAUUUUUCAUUGAAUAGAUUGUUUUAAAAUUUCACAUGUAUUUGUAUCUUCUUUUAUAUAUAUAUAUAUUAUCGGAUUAUUAUUUCAUUAUUAAAACCAUAACUAUAUAUAUAAAGAUUAGUAAAAUAUUGUUUUAUUGUCAUAUUCAAAGAUAUUGUAACAUUUCACAAAUUUAGAAAGUUUUUAAAAAAUUAAACUUUUCGCUUCAUGGAUUUAUAUUAUCGAGUAAAUAAUUAAACAUUUAGUUUUUGCUUAAUUUUUAAAAUAAACUAUAUAGUUUAAAAUUUGUUUUCAUUGGUUUAAGGUAGUAAAGAUUAAUCAUUGUUAGAUAAUAUUAUUUUUGAUAUUUUUUAAAUUUUUUUUAUAAUUUUAAAAGUUAACAUCGACAUAUAUUUAAAUAUUUAACAUAUGGAGUUAUAGUAUUACACCAUUAAAUUAUAUCUAUUUUAUUUAUAUUGUCUAUAAAUCCAAUGGAUCAUCUAUUCUUUAAAUCCAAUUAUUGAUAGCCCAAUAAAAAUUUCUGGUAGACCCAAAAUUUAAAUGAUAUAAUAUAUGUGUCUAUCAAUUUUUAAAACAUAAUAGGUUUACGGUAUAUGUUUUUCAUUGAAUAGAUUGUUUUAAGCUUUUACGUGUAUUUGUAUCUUCUUCUAUAUAUAUAUUUUCGGAUUGUUAUUUUAUUAUUAAAAUCGUAACUAUAUAUAUAAAGAUUAGUAAAAUAUUGUUUUAUUGUCAUAUUCAAAGAUAUUGUAACAUUUCACAAAUUUAGAAAGUUUUUUAAAAAUUAAACUUUUCGCUUCAUGGAUUUAUAUUAUCGAGUAAAUAAUUAAACAUUUAGUUUUUGCUUAAUUUUUAAAAUAAACUAUAUAGUUUAAAAUUUGUUUUCAUUGGUUUAAGGUAGUAAAGAUUAAUCAUUGUUAGAUAAUAUUAUUUUUGAUAUUUUUUAAAUUUUUUUUAUAAUUUUAAAAGUUAACAUCGACAUAUAUUUAAAUAUUUAACAUAUGGAGUUAUAGUAUUACACCAUUAAAUUAUAUCUAUUUUAUUUAUAUUGUCUAUAAAUCCAAUGGAUCAUCUAUUCUUUAAAUCCAAUUAUUGAUAGCCCAAUAAAAAUUUCUGGUAGACCCAAAAUUUAAAUGAUAAGAUUAGAGAUUAAAUAUAACAUGACUUUCUAGGAAUAGGUCCAUUAGGUCCAUUGUUUAAAAAAUCACACAUGAAUCAAGGUUGUGACUACAUGUUUAAAUAUAUAAACUAGAUAUCGAUCCGCGCAACCGCGCGGUUUUUGUUUUCAUUUAUUUUUAUAUAAAUAUUUUGUUUUCAAUUCUAAAUUGGUAUAUAUUAUAAUAUAUGUGUCUAUCAAUUUUUAAAAUAUUAUAAGUUUACGGUACAUUUUUUCAUUGAAUUGAUUGUUUUAAACUUUCACAUGUAUUUGUAUCUUCUAUAUAUAUAUAUUUUCGGAUUAUUAUUUCAUUAUUAAAAUCGUAAAUAUAUAUAUAAAGAUUAGUAAAAUAUUAUUUUAUUAUCAUAUUCAAAGAUAUUGUAACAUUUCACAAAUUUAGAAAGUUUUUAAAAAAUUAAACUUUCCGCUUCAUAGAUUUAUAUUAUCGAGUAAAUAAUUAAACAUUUAGUUUUUGNNNNNNNNNNNNNNNNNNNNNNNNNNNNNNNNNNNNNNNNNNNNNNNNNNNNNNNNNNNNNNNNNNNNNNNNNNNNNNNNNNNNNNNNNNNNNNNNNNNNNNNNNNNNNNNNNNNNNNNNNNNNNNNNNNNNNNNNNNNNNNNNNNNNNNNNNNNNNNNNNNNNNNNNNNNNNNNNNNNNNNNNNNNNNNNNNNNNNNNNNNNNNNNNNNNNNNNNNNNNNNNNNNNNNNNNNNNNNNNNNNNNNNNNNNNNNNNNNNNNNNNNNNNNNNNNNNNNNNNNNNNNNNNNNNNNNNNNNNNNNNNNNNNNNNNNNNNNNNNNNNNNNNNNNNNNNNNNNNNNNNNNNNNNNNNNNNNNNNNNNNNNNNNNNNNNNNNNNNNNNNNNNNNNNNNNNNNNNNNNNNNNNNNNNNNNNNNNNNNNNNNNNNNNNNNNNNNNNNNNNNNNNNNNNNNNNNNNNNNNNNNNNNNNNNNNNNNNNNNNNNNNNNNNNNNNNNNNNAUAUUUUCGGAUUAUUAUUUCAUUAUUAAAAUCGUAACUAUAUAUAUAAAGAUUAGUAAAAUAUUGUUUUAUUGUCAUAUUCAAAGAUAUUGUAACAUUUCACAAAUUUAGAAAGUUUUUUAAAAAUUAAACUUUUUGCUUCAUAGAUUUAUAUUAUCGAGUAAAUAAUUAAACAUUUCGUUUUUAUUUAGUUUUUAAAAUAAAAUAUAUAGUUUAAAUUUGUUUUCAUUGGUUUAAGGUCGUAAAGAUUAAUCAUUGUUAGAUAAUAUGAUUUUUGUUAUUUAAAAAAAAAAUCUUUAUAAUUUUAAAAGUUAACAUCGACUAUUUAAAUAUUUAACAUAUGGAGGUAUAGUAUUACAAUAUUAAAUUAUAUUUAUUUAAUUUAUAUUAUUUAUAAAUUCAAUGAAUCAUCUAUUCUUUAAAUCCAAUUAUUAUAGCCCAAUAAAAAUUUCUGGUAGGCCCAAAAUUUAAAUGAUAAUAUUAGAGAUAAAAUGUAACAUGACAUUAUAGAAAUAUGUCUAUUAUGUCCAUUUUUUUUAAAAAAUCACACAUAAAUUAAGGUUGUGACUUCUGUUUGAAUAUAUAAGAUAUAAGAAAAGAAUAUUACAAACUAGUAUAUCCAAUCAUGCACCUUAUGCAUAUAGGCCCCACCUUGCUCAUGUUCGCCCGCCCACACUUUCAAAUAGAUACCAUUUUCUCUGGCUCUCCAGUCCCACAAGGCUCCAUUAUCACUGGGACUUACCUGUUUGAAGGCUGUGAAGCUCUGAGUGUGUCUAUAGUUAGGCCCUUGUCUCAACGUACACAUGAAACGCGUUGUCCCCCAAAUGUUGGUGUUGAAGUUAAUUCGAUGGCGUUCUCCUGGGUUUUUUAUCACUGGCUCCAUUUGGUCGUCUCCGGAGAAACAGCUUAUCCAGAGUUUUUUCUUGAAUUUGAGUUCGUUCGCAAUCCUGAUGUCGCCGUAUACAUGGCUAAUCAUGCAGACGACACAUAGAAAUAUUGAGAGAUUUUUCAUUUUUUUCUUAGGAUACUGAUAAGAUGUUUUACAUCUUUUGUUAUUUAGAUUAUAUAUAUACACAGAACAUCUUAUUAGGAAGGGAUCAUGGUCAUGCAUGGAACAUAAUCACGGAAAUUUGACGAGAUAUCUUCCUUUAAAUUUGUAGAUUUUUAUUUCUUUCUGUUUAUUCCAUUGUAAGUAAUUCUGAUUAGUUUAUAAUAAUAUAAAUUGAAAAACGGAAACAAUAUAUUAAUACGAGACUAUAGUUAAGACUCUAUUGAUAUGGUUUUAAUUAUAAUAAGAUUGACAUGCUUAUUUUUGUAAUAAGAAAAAAAGAAAUGAUAGAUAUAUAAAAAAUGAGUGAUGAAUAAUAAAACUACUGAAUCUCACAUUAAUAUUAAGUAUAUAUGUCGAAAAUAAUGACAUCAUGUUAUUUAAAAUUUAAAAUAUUAUUUUUCUAAUUUAAAAUUAGUUAAUAAUAUUUAAUUAAAAUAUGUAUGUAUUAUAGUAACUUUUUAAAAAUGAAAGUAAUACUUUUAAAAAUAAUACUUUUAAAUGAAUCAUUGUUUUAUACGAUAGUCUGAUGAUUGGAGAGAAUUUAAUGAUGUAUUUUUUUGAUUAACCAAUUGUUAGUGUUAAGGUAAUCACUAAAUAAAAAAUGUUUGAGAAAAUGUGAUUUGCGAUUUGACAAAGUUACGGAAAUUUUGUAACUAUUUUAAUUCAAAAUAAAAUAAAGUGGUAAAAAAAUAAUGUGAAAAUAUAAAGUAUUAUAAAAUAUUUUUUUUGCUCAUUAAUCUUUUUUUUAUUAAUCACAAAUUAUGUCAUAAUUUUUUUUUUGAAAACUUAUAUUUAAAUUGAUAGAAUUAUCACUAUAUCUCAAUAAUCUUCUAAGAUUAUACAAUACCAAGACUUUUUAUUUUUAAACUAUUUAAAAUAAUAAAAUUGUUUUGAUUAUUAAUCGAGAAAAAUAAUUGCUGACUACUUGAAGUACUGACCACCACAUGUCAACUAUGCACACUAAAUUAAUAUAUAUCUAGCUACACAAAAUAUAUGUUAUAUAUGAUAAUAUCUCUCAACUUAAUAAUAUUACAUAGUUAGAUUAAUUUUAUUAAUUCAAAAAAUGACAUGUUUAUAUCUCCGAAAUCGUGGACAACCACCUGGUUGUAAUAAUUCCCAUUAGUCUCUCGACAUAUCACACGUGUUUCCCACUAGCCUUUGAUCUUAUGUUGUAAUUUUAUGUUUGGGUUUUCUCUUUAAUAUAUCCUUUAAACAACAGCCAUUUAGGUUUAAUGAAAAAAAUUUGACAAAAAAAAUUCUGAUUAGCAGAUUUGACUACGAGAUUGAGUUUCUUCCGGGAUCUAAUUUGGAACAAGCCUCUCCUGUAAAUUAGAAAAAAAAAAUCGUCCAAAUAAGGUAGAAUUUUUUAUUUUUUUUUUACAUUUUCUGGUCUCUCUAUUUAUUGUCUCAGCUGAUGAACCAUCAACGGGUUUGAUCCGUCAAAAUUAUCAAUACUUUUAAAAGAAGAUUAUUUCUGACCUUUUUAUGUGUAAUGAGAAAUCUAAUCUAUUUUAUUAAUUUAUAGUUUUACUUUUAUCUACUGAUAAAAUGUUGUCACUUAAAAAUUUAAAAUGAGCUAACAAUACAUUUCAUUAAUGAUACAUAUAAUUACCUUUAUAAAAGUUGAAAUUGUUGACCAUGCAUAUGUAUAGUACAGAUUCAUGAUUUUUAGCAUAACCACUUCUAGGCCUGGAAUUUAUAACCGAACCAAAAUUUUCAAACCGAACCCAACCGAGAUUUGGUCUUUUUGGUUUCACUUCGGUUACUGCAACAGAACCGAUCGGCAGAAAUUUCAAACAUGUUCGGCUUGGAUUGGUUCGGCUUGGAUUGGUUUGAUGACCCUAAUGGUUAACUCAAACAAAAUCCUAGUUGACGAUGUUCUUUUGUUAAUUCACAGCUAAACCUAGAACGACUAUUUAAUAUUGUUUUAUAAAGUUUAGAUGGCUCAUCUAUAAAUAUUUGAUAAAAUCACAUCAAAUUGCCCAAAUGUUAAAUAUUAAAAUGACACACAUUUUUAUCACGUGCUUGUCUUCUUAAUUUUCAGCCCUAGUUUGUCCAGUCUUCGCUUUUCUUUUUGCUUGUUUUUUUGUAUCUCUUAACUACUCUGUUUCAUGAUCUCUAUCUUAUGUGUUAAAACAGAGAUUGAGCUGGUGGAUACACAAGAAUGCUCCGCACUCACAUACGACACGAGUUGGUGAUGCUGCACGAAUGGGCUUUAUCGAGUAUUCAUAUCUCUUUUCUGUAUUGUUCAUUUUGUCUAACACUUUACCGCAGUAUCAUACUGAAUUUGAGUCUUCUUUAGUCGCAAUUACGAAAAUAUGGAUGCUAUAUGUGUUUGAGCAGUAUUCGAUUCUUCUUCCUGCAAUAUCACAUUGAAUUUGAGUCCUUUAUGUGGUAUAAUGUAAAACAAAAUCCUAAUAGGGAAAAAGUUAGCUGAACCCUUAUUUAUCAAUUUAUUACUAGAUUAACUCGAAUUUUAUUUUAUUAAUAGUUUGUUAUAUCGAUUUUACCAUUAUUUUUUUGUUACAGAAAAUAGUAUUUACGAUUUUGCCAUUACAUAGACUUAUUUUUCAAUGAUUUAUGUAGUCACAAAUUUAUUUUCGACAUAUUUAUUUCUCUUUAGUCACAGAUUUACUUAAAUUUGACAGAUUUACUUAAACAAAUUUGUCAUGUUUUACCCACAAACUUAUUUCAUUACGACAGAUUUAAUGAUGAUUUGAAAAAUUUAACUUUUAUGUCCAUAAAUUUACGUAUGUGUAAAAUGUUAUGUUUUGAAAACCGGACCAGAUGUUGAUUCGACAUUGUCACUAGAUUGCUGGUCGGACCGGUGUACCAGUCGAACUGGGGUUUUAUAUGUAUAUAUAGUAUGUAUAUAUAACAUGAAAAUGUUAUAAAAGGAACUAGGAAUAAAACAUACUUUGAAAAACAGAUGCUAUGAAAGUAUAUAUGAAUUUUAGUUAUAUAUAUAUGACAAUAUAACUAACUAAAGAGGAUUUAUUUAAAUCAUAAGUUUCGUUUUAACUGAGAAUCUGUUUAACAAAUUUUGCUUUCCUUACUUUGAAGUAAGAAAAGUAAAAGUAGAAAUAUUUCCUAAACAAAUUAUUUGCAUUAAAUUGUAACGCAAAAUGGAAGUAAAUGAUGCAAUUUAGAAAACUGAAUUCUAAUAUUAAACAUGGUCUCUGGUUUUGCCAGUUUUCAACUGGUUUUAGCGCUUUAGGUCAUAUCUGAUUUUCGACUUAAACCGGACUCGGCUACAUAGCCGAUUCACAGUCAGAUCGGUUAGACUGACCGGUCCGGUUUUCAAAACCUGCUUAAAUGUGGUAUAAUGUCAAGCUAAAUUAUAAUAUACAUAAUCACAAAAUGUAACUUUCUUUAACUAUCUCAUCCAGCGCAGGGUGCGAAUCGCUACCUAGUCAUAUAUUACUUAUCAAAUAGGAUCAUAUAUUAAAUCUAAAUAAUAUUACUUACCACGAAACAAAUCAAUAAUUCCCAAAAUAUAGUACAGAUUCAAUUACUGUUUUGGUAUGUGAUUAGCUUUUUAAAAAUUUACUAUAUUAAAAUACAGUCCUAUUUAAACUCUACCAUGACAUAUUUUCUUUUGGACCUAUUCAAUAAGUUGGGACUAAAAUAUACACGCUCUACCUAUUUUUUAGUCUAUUGUUAAAGAUCGUUAUUAAAAUUUGGAUUACACUGCUCCUUUAUGUAACACAAGAUAUGAGCCCGUUGCGUUGUAACGGGUUUUGUGUGAUGUUUUCAUUUAAUAAAAACUAUAAAACAAGAAAUAAUUUUAUUAUAGUUUUAUGAUUGGUUUUUUUUUGCAUAUGUUGUUUGAGAUUUAUUUUAUAAUUAAAACUCAUUUUUACACAUAAGUUUAAGUUAAUAUUUGUAUUUUAUAGUCAUGGUAAAUAGAUGAAUUGUUAUAAACUUUGUACUUAGGAUUAGAUAAAAUACUAUAUCUAAACGUUUAAACUGAACACAACCCGAAAUAAGAAAUUGAAUGAAAAGUAAUGACAACAUUAAUGACAACAUUAUACAUGUUCUUAUGUAAUAAUUUAAUGUUUUAUUAGAUAAUUCUUUAAAAAUUUAUUUUGUUUGGAUUUUUUUUAAAGGAAAAAAUUCUAUUUUAUAAGAUUUUAGAAAAAGAAAAUUAUUAUCAUAUAACAUAUUAUAAUAAUCUUCUUUGUAGAAUUUCAGAAAAAAAUAGAUUGCUAUCAAAUAAUUAUUUUUAGUUACUAAUAAAGAAAAUUUACAUUUCGUAUCAAUACUAAUUUUACACUUCUUUUGUUAAUUAAAUAUAUUUUUGUAUCAUGUUCAUCAUCAAAUACUCUCUUAAAAAUAUUAUCAAAUAAUGUUUUAUAAUUUUCUUUUUAUUAGGACUUAAAAAUAUGAUACAACUUUUUUUUUUAGGAUUUUUUAUACAAAUAAGAAACAAAACUAUCAAAUACUCUUGCACAGUUUUUUAGGAUUUUAGAAAAGAAAAUUAAUAUUACAUAUUCUUUUACAAUUAUAUUUUUUCUAGGAUUUAGAAAAAUAAAAUUUCUAUCAAAUAAUUAUUUCCAGUAAAUAUUAACUAUUUUUAAAAGUUGUCAUUUUCAAAAUUCAUUUUUUCCAAUAUCACUAAUAUUUUUUACAAAUUUUCUUGUUAACUAAAUUUUUUUUUACUAUCAUAUUUAUCAUUAAUUUUUAUAAGUACAAAUUACUAUUAAAUAAAAUUUUACAAUUCUCUCUUGUCAGGAUUUUUUUUAAAAAGAAAAAAAUCUCAAUUGGUCAAGAUUAGAGAAUAAUUUUUUUUUUUUGAAAUCUCUUUUAUUUAGGAUUUUAGGAAAAGAAUAAGUUAUUUUCACAUAAUGACAAUUUUAUUGACAUUCAAAAUCUAUUUUUUUAAUUGACACAUGUCACAAUCAUAUCAGGUGAAAUAUUUGAAGUUAAUUUUGGUUUAUAUUUUUUUAACACAAAAUUAUUAAAAAGUAAAAUUAGUUAAUUAUAAUAAAAUUAAGAUUAUUUUUAUAUAUUUAUUUUAUUUAGACUUUUAAAAAGGAAAUUAAUUAUUUUAUAAUUAAUUUUAAAAAAAAAAUAUUUUUACUAUUAAAUAAUUUUUAAAAGUAGUUUUUAUCAAAAUUCGUUUUAUUAUCUUAUUAUAUAUAUUUUUAAUUAUUAUAUAUUUAAACACAUGUCACAAUAUUAUAAGGAAAAUUGUUAUCAAAUAGUAUUUUACAAUUAUCUUUUGAUUAAGAUUUUAAAAUAUGAAAAUUACUAUUAAAUAAUAUUUUAAUUAUUUUUUAAUAAAAUUCGCUUUUGUUAAUAUCUUAAUAUAUAUAUUUUUAAUUAUGAGAUAGAUUAACACAUGUCAUAUUCUUAAAAUAUAUAGUUGGCAUGUAUCGCGAUCAUGUUAAUUAAAAAUUUUGAAGAACCAAACUUUUAGAAAAGAAAUAUUAUAUUAAAUAAAUGGUUUUCAAUUUUUUUAAGGAUUUUGUAAAAAGAAAAUUUCUAAAAUAAUUACUACUAAAUAUUAAAAAAAAAAAUUAAAUGGUUUUCCAUUUUUUUAAGGAUUUUGUAAAAAGAAAACUUCUAAAAUAAUUACUACUAAACAUUAAAAAAAAUUACUAUUAAAGAAUUUUUAAAAGUAGUUUUUAUCAAAAUUCGUUUUUAUUAUCUUAUUAUAUAUAUGUUUAAUUAUUAUAUAUUUAAACACAUGUCACAAUAUUAUAAGGAAAAUUAUUAUCAAAUAGUUUUUGGCAAUUAUUUUUUGAUUAGGAAUUUAAAAAAGAAAAAUUACUAUUAAAUAAUAUUUUAAUUACUUGUUAAUAAAAUUCAUUUUUGUUAAUAUCUUAGUAUAUAUAUUUUUAAUUAUGAGAUAGAUUAACACAUGUCACAAUCUUAAAAUAUAUAAUUAUUAUGUGUCGCGGUCAUGUUAAUUAGCAAUUUUGAAGAACCAAGCUUUAUAUAAUAAGAUAUAAUCGAAUUUCUUAAUUAAAAACAUCACACUAAAUCAUCCUUCGGUUAUUCUACAGGUAAAAGACCAAUACAUAUUUCAAAUACUAAUUAUAUCAAUCAAACCACGACUAUGUUUAUCUUCUGACUUUAAUACUCACUAAAACUGGACAUCGCAUGAACCCAUAAAAUCAUAUUUGCUUCUCUUCCGCUCACGAACUACACCUACAACACACCAAAAUAUAUUCAGUUCAUAUUUGUCCAUAUUUAAUUUUACUAGCAUAGUAGCAUUCUAACAAUCUCUAUACUUACACGAGCUUUGAAUAAUACACCAUAUCACAAAGUAAUAGAUGGCAUGAUAUUUAAAAAAUGUCUAUAUAUAAUAAAAAUCUACAUACAAUCAAUUAGAUUGAAAAUUCUAACCAAUUUUUAUCUAUUUGAUCAAAUCUACACUAACGCAUCUUGUAUACAGUGUAUCCUCUAUCAACUUAAUUCAAAUUUAAACAUUUUCAAUUAUCUAUUAGAUAUUGACAUCUUAACUUUUUUAUAACUGAAUUGAGAAUAUGUCUAAGUCUAACGAUCCUCAAAAUUGAUAAAUGAAUAUGCUUAUCGAUCCUCCUAAUGGUUAGUAGUGUCUAAACAAAAUAAAUAAUCUUCCAUCCUCUAUACUUUCUGCACCUCACAAUCAUAAACUAAAAGGCAUAUGACAAUGGUGACGUCCAACAGAACUACUUUAUUGAAAGAUGUCAAACCAGACAAAACUGGAUGGAAGGUUGAGAUCAAAGUUCUGCAUUCAUGGACUCAGCACUCAUCUUAUGGUGGUGGAGACUCUCUUGAGUUCAUACGGCAGAUAAGACGGUAAGUGUACUAAUGUUUUAAGCGUUUAGUUUCUCUAUAACUUUAGUUUUGUAAAACUUCUAAAUCAAUGAUCUUUUUGUUCUUCCUUUUAAUCCACUCUCAUAAGAAGAAGAUAAAUAACAUGGACUGUUUGUUAUGAUUAGUAUUAGAAAACGAGCACGCAUGUAACCAACACAGAAACUGUAAAACCAUUUUGAGUUUUGGCAGUUUCAAACAUAAAUUACUUAUAAUCAGUGAGAUCAAUUUUGACGUUUGGGAUGAUAAAUAAGAACUAACAAACAGAAAUAGAGCAAGAAGAAUAACUAGAGAAUCAAGAAGAACUAAACAGACACAAAAACAUAAGAUAAGAAAAAACAGAGAACCAAGAAGUAAACAAAUACAUAAACAGAGAAUCAAGAACUAAACUGACGAAUAAACAGAGAAACAAAAAGAACUAGACAGACACAUAAACCGGGAAUCAAGCACUAAACAAACAUAUGAUAGAACAUGCAAAACAAUGUGCAAAGGUUUAAUAACUAACCGUUAAUUUUAAGGGGUUUUUUUGCAUCAAUAUCGAGUUAACCUUUGCCUCUGUUUCUUCAAUAUAUCCAAAUGUGAUAAAACAUUCUACGAAAAAGAGAUUACAUAACAAAUUAGUUAAUUAAUAUAUCAAUUAGAACAACAAAAUAAAUAAGAAUACGAGACUUAGCUUUGUAUGUUUGUUGGAGCAUAAUUUCUUAAAGUGGAUAUUUCUUCUCUGGUUCACAACAACUUCUACCGAUUAAGAGCAUCACUAGCUUUACAUGAUACACAAACAAAUACAUUAAAACCAUAUGCCUACAGAGAAACACAUAAAACGAUAAUCACAAUCAACUAUAUCAGACUAUAUACUUUCAUGAUCUCAAUAUCUAACUAUCAUAUGUAAUUGUAGCUCAACCAGAUGCUAUACCUUUUUAAGUCUGUACAGAACCCGCAAUAAGGCCUUCAAAUUGGUAAAGUUUGCUUCUUAUCUUCAUUGAAACAGAUUUUUCUUAAAUAUGUCUCGACAUAUACGUAUAACACAAAUCAAUUCUAUACAUGUAAAAUGUAUCAUAAUCUAAAUUAGGCAUGACAAAUUUAUCCAGAACCGAAGAACUAGACCGAACCCAAAAUGUAUACGAACGGAUCAUAUACUCUAAAACUAAAGGACCAAAACUGAAUCGAAACUGAACCAAGAACCGAAUGGUUAUCCACAUUUUUGUAAUAUAAUUUACAUAUGUAUAAAUAUUAACUAUAUUUAGUUUUAAAAUAAUCAAAAUUAAAAAUUAUAUUUAUAAACAAAAUACACAAAAAGCUGAAUUACCGGAAUAAUUUUAUCAAAAUAUAAUAUUAACUGAAUAAUCCAAUUUUUUUUAUCCGUAAACAAAGAAAAAACUGAUAUUUAAUCAAAAAGACACCCAAAUUUUAUGACUUUUAAUCCAAAUUAACCAAAAACUUGAACAUUGUCGGAAUCGAAUGGAUUCUAAAUUAAUCUCAGGUAUUAGCCGAUUCUUACUUUUGUUACCCAAACUAAAAACAAAAAAAAAACAUGAACCAGACCCAAAUUGAAUUUUCUAAAUACCCGAACGGAUUUUAAACCUCUGAAUCAAAUCGGAACCAAAAUCAAGAACCAAAUGCACAUGACUAAUCUGAAUAAUUUUAAUAAAGAUUUGACAAAAACAAUAUCUGCAGACAGCGCGGAUCCGUAUCUAAUUGUGUUUAAAUUGGACAAUAAUCCAACUAUGACAAGAGUCGUAACAGAUAACAAUAUACUCAAAAGGUAUAUGUAACUACACAAACUGUAAUAAGAAUCAAGAAAACUAAACGAUUUUUAAAAGUAUGUCUAAAUUAGAUAACAAAACAAAUAUGCCACAAAAUCGUAACAAUGUAGUCAAAAGUAAUAUCUAUCUGCACAUUUUUUUUCUUUUUUUUUUGACAGCAAGAAACAUUUACAGACUCAUAUAGACUCCGUAAACCAAUGUGGUAACUCUGCAUCUAUGUGUACGACGAAAGACGGUUGUGUCGGAGCAUUGUGUGCUAAGCGAUUCGCCUUUAUGUUUGCCGUCCUAGGAACAUGAACAAUCUCUGAGUUAGUAAAGCUUUUUCUCAAAAACUUUAUAUCAUCCAGGUAGCUUUCAAAUGCUGGUCAUUCUUCUGGUUCCGAAACCAUCUUCACCAAUUGAGAACAAUCUGUUGCAAACGUGACCCGAUACUGUCUUAAGUUCUUCAUACAUUCCAUUGUCCAAAUUAAUGCCUCCAACUCCGCAUGAAGAGGUGAGAGACUUGCCCUUACAUUUCUUGCCCCUAACAAACCCUCAAACCCCGGUAAGGUGCUGAACCAGCCUUGUCCUGAAAAAUAAUCUUUAUCUUUCCAAGAACCGUCAGUGAAACACCAUCUUCAUGUAGUCUCUGAGUACCACCCUGGGAUUAUUUACAACUUGUGCCUCAGCCCAAAGUGUUGAUUCCAAUUCUGCUAAGUUAAGCGUUUCCCUCGGAUCAAUAUCAAUAUUACUGAAAACUUUGUUAUUCCAACCCUUCCAUAUGUACCAUAGGAUCCAUGCAAACUGAUGAUCCUCCAUUUUUGGAUUAACUAUCCAAAACAGAUGAUCCAUAUUAGCAAAAAUAGAGCCAAAAGGAAAAAUGUUUGGGUUCGAUGGAAUCUUAGAUAGUGCACACACUUGACGUACCGGAGGACAUUCGAAGAACACAUGAUUUAUUCAUUCCUCCGGGUCCCCACACCGUGCACAGCUUAUAUCUCCUUGUAUUUCUCUUGAUUUUAAAUUUUUUUGUCACUGCUAUACAACAUGUCAGCAGCUGCCAUAAAAAAUGCCUUAACUUUGGAGGGAACUUCACUUUCCAGCAGAAUGCCUUAAGUACGUCCACAUUGGGUCCAUAAAAUUCUGGUGGUUUUUCCUUAUCAGGAUAUAUCCUUUCUACUUGAUACCCUGAUUGUACUGUGUAUCUCCCAUUAUUAGUGAAAUGUCAUCCAUUCCUAUCAUCCAUCUGAUUUCUACUCAGAGGAAUACUUUCAAUCAUUUUUGCAUCGCGGGGUUCCACCAAAGUCCUAAGUGCCUGUAAAUUCCAUUAUCGGGAUUCCUGAUGGAUGAGGGAAUCCACUGUGAGGUCCGGGUAACUGUUAUGAAAGUUUUUGUUUGCUGGUCUCGGGUGAGUGGAUGAGAUCCAAGGGUCAUUCCACACUGAGAUAGAUGAUCAUGUUCCAACCCUUUUAAUUAGUUCUUUACAAACCAGAGAUCUAACAGAGAUAAUACUCCUCCAGCCAUACGACGGGUAAUAUGAGCGAAUCGUUUCUAGGGGUGAAGCAUUCCUGUAGUACCGUCCUUUGAAAAUUCGCGAAAAAAGAGAAUUUGGCUUCUCGAUCAGCCUCCACAAUUGCUUUCCCAACAUUGCCGUAUUAAAAUCAGUCAAAUCCUUGAAGCCUAGCCCACCAUUAUCCUUAUGGACACAUAAUUUAUCUCAUGAUUUCCUAUGCACACCCGUUGUACUUCCUCAUAGGCUCCACCAAAACUGAUCUACUGCACUCGUUAGUUUCUUCACUGUAGCUUUCGGUAGCCGAUACACCGACAUCACAUGGUUUGGCAGAGCCGUGAUCACCGACUUAAUAAUCACCUCUUUUCCCCCUUUUGUAAAAAAUAUAAAAGUUCAUCCAUUCACCCUAUUAUUCAGACGAUCUUGUACAAAACCAAACACUUGGACCUUGAAACCUCCUAAACUUUCUGGCAAGCCUAAAUAAGAACUCAUUCCUCCUAGGUUCUGAAUCCCCAAAAUAUCUCUCAACUCUUGACGGCUGGCUUCCUUAAUCUUAUGUCCAAAUUGAAUUGAGGAUUUCUGAAAAUUAAUUUGUUGCCCUGAGACAGCCUCAUAAUCCUUUAGUAUCCUGAGAAUAGCUUGGCACUCUUUUUGUUUGUCUUACAAAAGAACAAACUAUCAUCUGCAAAUAGCAAAUGAGAAACUGCUAGACACGCUCUUGCAACCUUCAUACCGGUUAAUUGUUUCAUCCUCUCUGCUUUUUUUAUAUUUGUAAUUAAAGCCUCAGUACACAUAAUAAAUAAAUAAGGAGAUAAUGGAUCCCCUUGACGUAAUCCCCGCUGAAGUAUUAUAAGGCCUCGUGGUUGCCCAUUGAGAAGAACUCUAUAUUGAACUGAGGAUAUACACCCUCGCAUUAAUUUAACCCAAUGAAGGUCAAAUCCCAUUUUAUGAAGAAGAGCCUCAAUAAAAUCCAACUCUAUUCGAUCAUAUGCCUCACUCAUAUUCGUUUUAAUUGCCAUUCACGUAUCACGUUAAAUAAAAAACUAUGUGUUUUAAACGUGAGAUGUUAUAAGCUUAAGCAUAUUGUACAAGUUAUUGCAAGAUUUUAUUUAGAUUUAUAAUAAAUUAUGAUAAUAAAACAAUUUGUAUAAAACCAAACUGUUACGUAAUAAUGUUGAACAAUAUAAAUUUAUUAAUAUUACAAAAUAUAUGAUAUAAAAUCUUUAUAUAUAAAAUUGAUUUGUGUGAUGCACACAGCCUUCCACAACACCACAACAGGUUGGGGCUUUUUUCGACACCUGUUAGCUCCAGAGUAGAUCGGUGUGGCCACGUUCCCUCCUCCUUCUCGCGCGCGUCGUGUUGUCUGUAUCAUCUUCUCAACAUCAACAAUCAAAGAUCAGUAGCCGACAGUUUCAACUUUCAUUAAUACAAACGUAAAGCCCAGUUUUAACGUGAUUUACCCCACUCGUCUCACUCUCAAGCAUUCAAUCAACCUCAUCAUCUCCAAAGUAACCGAUGGAAACUCAAACUAUAAAUCCCCAAGCUCUCAGAGAUGAACAACCUCAGCGAAAUCGAGAAGAAUAGUCUUUUCUGAUUACCAACUCCGACAAUCUCAUCACCUUACCGGUUGAGAUGAGCUCCGAAACGUUGGCGGCUGGAGACGGCGGCGAAACGAGCGCUGGGCCAGCACCGGCAUACGACAAACAGAAGGAGAAGGCGCGCGUGAGCAGACCGUCUCUGAUCCUGUGCCACGACGCGCACCAGAACGACGCAUCUGCAGUCUGGAAACUCCUGGAGAAAGAUCAGUCUCUGGUUCACGCCAGAGAUUACGACAGCCAAACGUCUCGGGUGGAUCGAUGUUGUUAAAUGUCUGAUCGAGUUUGGUGCUGAUGUCAACGCUCAGGACAGGUGGAAGAACACGGUACACUCUUUUUUUAAAUGUUAUUCGGUUCUUUUAUCUCUUUAUAUCAUGUUUGAUCUGAAACUUUUGUUGUGUGUGUGUUUUGAAAGCCUCUGGCUGAUGCAGAAGCUAAUAUGAGCUAGGAAGCAGAAAAUGAUCGAGCUACUCAAAUUUCAUGGCGUUUUAUCUUAUGUGAGUUUUUUUAAUAUCAAAGUUAUAAACUUUCAUUCCUCGAGGUAGAAAAAUUGCUAUGAAAUAUUAAAAGAUUAUUGCAAUAAAUUUAGGAACUUUCUCUGUGAAGCAAAGCAGCCUGCUUUAAUGCGUGUGGCUGAUUGAAUUUUGUCUACGCAGGGUCAAAACGGAAGUCACUUUGAACCAAAGCCUUUGCCACCACCAAUUCCAAAGAAGUGUGACUGGGAGAUUGACCCUGCUGAGCUGGAUUUCUCAAAUGCAGCCAUGAUUGGAAAGGUUUGUGUAUUCUUUUUGAAUCAAGUUUUGAUCAUAGGUGAUCGAUCCAUAGUCUUGAGUUUGUUUAGUUCAGUGCAGUGGACUAAUUGGAUCUUUGGUCACAUUUUGUUAGGGUUCAUUUGGUGAGAUUGUGAAAGCCUAUUGGAGAGGAACACCAGUGGCUGUCAAACGUAUUCUUUCUUCUCUUUCAGAUGAUAGACUGGUUAUGUAAGUUCUUAUUUCUCUCUUUUGAGAUUAGCUGAUACCUUGGUAGAAGUCUGUCCUAAGAUUCUUGUGUAUUCAUACUGUAGACAAACUCAAAACAAGAUAGAUUCUGCUCAUAAGAGCUUAUUGACACAGAAAAUGAAAUAGCUUUAAGAAGCUUUAUUGUGCAAUGAAACUAAAGAAAGGAAGAAUCUUUAUGCUUGUCACCAAGAUAAGUAAGAUUGUAAAUGAUUCAUAAAUAUGAAGGGAGAGGCUGCAUUCAACGCAGCCUUCGUUACAUUGCAAAGUGACCUUACACAGAUAUUUAUAUCAACUCAAUAUGCUAGAAAACCUAGAUACAAUGAGCUUAGAUAAUGGGCUUCCGGUCUUUAUUUGGGCCUUGCUAAUACUCCCCCGCAAACUUAGCGUGGAUGGAGCAGCUACGCUGAGUUUGAAAGCACAGAUGGAUAUGGCUUGAAAUGAGCAUAAGUAGAUGAAGUAGGAUGCUUGAGAUGUUAGCAAAUGGUUCUACUCACCAUUGUAGACAAACAUUAGUGUGAGAUCUAUUCAGACCUAUACUUGGAGAGUAUCACAUGGCUUCACUCAGAGGUUUCUCUUGAACUUGGAGAGCUUAGUUGAUCUCACUCAGAGGUAUAAUUGUGGCCUAUUUGUCUCACUAUGAAUCUAGGUUUACUUUACCCAUUUCAUCCUUCUAAUGUGUCUAAUGAAGAACACUCUUUCCACACCUACCAAAUACAACUAUACUCACUCUCUGCUUCCCAUCAAUAUCACCAAAAUUCUGCCUCUAAACAAACUGACCUUCUUGUGAGCAUUUCAGCGAGCACUUUGUGUGCAUUAGCAUUAAAGCCAGAGCUUCCACACGCAACAAACCCAAACCUGCCUAUUUCAUUAUAGCUUCGGUUCCAAACCUAUCUUAACCCAAGAAUUUAAGCUAACCAGCAACUCAAUCCAACACAGAGACAUUUAUUUUUCAUCUUUUGUUCUGUCUCAGUAGAAAGAAAUAGACAAUACCGUCCAUAAAGUGAUGAGGAAGUCUUUCUUUCUUCUCUGUCUGUUCUGAGCCCUACUUCACAGCUUCAGCUUCAUCGCUACCCAGAAAACACACAGCUUCAUCUAACUGAAGCUUAAAGAAAACG